AUAAAGAUUUUUUUAAAAAUCACUCAUUUAAAAUUCAGAAUUUCC
rfam:Monodelphis domestica chromosome 8, whole genome shotgun sequence.